UAUAUUUUCUCACUACAUAUUUCGUCCAAGAUGACGGUUCAAGACUACUUAUGUGAAGGUCAAAUUUGUAGGUUGAUUAUAGGUUCUUAAAUUAUUUAUGUUUUCUACUACAUGUAUUAUCUCCGCUUGAUCUGAAGGUCACUCUUUUUCUACCAUCAGUAUCAGUACUGAUAUUGUAUAUCUUUGGAGGGUUUCUUUCUGUUUCAUUCUAGAGAGAUGCUGAUACAAAUUUUUAUUUUGUGAAAUGUAGGCAAUCCAAAAUUUCUUCAAUUAUGACUCGCUUUUUUUUUUUCUCUCAGUUCCAGUUUUGCGAGUACUUGCCCUCAAACUUCUUAUGCUGACAAGUAUGGCAGGUUUGUAUGUCUCACUCAUGUUUAAUUUCAGAAAGUUCUUGCUUUGGUCCCACGUCCUGAUGUUGCUGGAAAUUUUCUAUCAUAAGCACCUCUGGCUCCUAUCAUUGUUGCAUUGUUACACUUUGUUUUGUAAAUUACAUGGAGCUGAAUAAAAAAUUGGUAGAAGUCAUUUUUUAUGGCUAUACUACGUAAGCAUAGGUAUGGGCCAUUGAUGCUUGAAAGAAAUCAGCCUCGAAUAAUUGUAUAUUUGGUUAGAAUUAUUUAGCUAUGCUCGGAAGUUACAUAAUUUUUUUAAUCAUGGUAGUAAUUAUACAUUCGAUUGAAAAGAAGUUAUACAAAUAUAAGAAUUGCUCUGUUCAUUCUUGCAAUUAUUGGUUACCUUGAUUCUCUUCGUACGGAAGGCAAUUUGUGUGCUCGAGUGUAAAAGAUAUGAGCUUUAGGUAUGCAAAAUUGGGAUAUCUAACUUUCUGUCAUUGCCUUCCAUAGUUGUUGAUGUACACUAGAUAUCUUUUAGGAGUUGAUGUUCCACGGGAUUCCAUUGAUAUUGGACGGAAAUGAAGCAAUAUGUAGAGUACAUACCGCCAGGCCCUAUAUGCUAUCAAGCGGAGGCUGGGUCGAGAGAUGUGCAGCCCGGUGCAUGAUCAAAUUCAAACCGAGGAAUGACAAGUUCCACAUAGGGCUAUCAAAAUGCAAUCCGCCCAUUCCUGUUUCGUUUCUCCAUGCCUUGAAUAAUGGUUGUAACCAAAUAUUAUGGCUCACACAUUUCCUCAUAGGUUCAAUAGAACGUAUUAUCACUUAGUGUUUUAUAAGUACUUUUUUUGCUUAUCACACACAGAUCUUCAUUCAUAGUGUAAGGUGUGCACAACAUAAGAAA